rnacentral:tRNA from 1 species
GGGAAUGUAGCUUAUUGAUAAGAGUGCUUGCCUAGCAUGCAUGAAGCCCUGGGUUAAAUUCCUCAUUACCA